rnacentral:rRNA from 1 species
UCUUCUUUUCUCAUGUCCUUNUUCAAUUUACAUGUUGAGCGGUGGAACCAAUGACGAAAGGAACGUAAAAACUUUUUUUCAGCAUACUUCUUAGAGGGACUGCCGGCGCCUAGCCGACGGAAGCCUGAGGCAAUAACAGGUCUGUGAUGCCUUAGAUGUUCUGGGCCGCACGCGCGCUACACUGAUUGGGGCAGCGAGUUUGUCUUUUUUUUUAUCUUGGUGCUUUCGCAAGGAAGUGUCAAGGUAAAAAAACACCUUGGCCGAUGGGUCUGGGUAAUCUCGUGAAACUCAAUCGUGCUGGGGAUAGACCGUUGCAAUUGUCGGUCUUCAACGAGGAAUUCCUAGUAAGCGCGAGUCAUCAGCUCGCGUUGAUUACGUCCCUGCCCUUUGUACACACCGCCCGUCGCUCCUACCGAUCGGAUGGUCCGGUGAAAUCCCCGGAGCUCGGCCUUUCACGCGAUCCGGGUAACUGGGUCGCGAGGGUCAGAAAAAGAAGUAAGGUGAUUAAGUGGCAACACU